rnacentral:rRNA from 1 species
AACGAACGCUGGCGGCGUGCCUAACACAUGCAAGUCGAGCGAGAAAAGGGGGGCAACUCCCUGAGUACAGCGGCGCACGGGUGAGCAACACGUAGGUAAUCUACCCUCGAGCCCGGAAUAACCUACCGAAAGGUGGGCUAAUACCGGAUAUGACCACGGGAGCUUCGGCUUCCGCGGUGAAAGGUGGCCUCUGCUUGCAAGCUACUACUUGAGGAUGAGCCUGCGUGCCAUAGCUAGUUGGUGGGGUAACGGCCCACCAAGGCGAUGAUGGCUAGCUGGUCUGAGAGGAUGGCCAGCCACACUGGGACUGAAACACGGCCCAGACUCCUACGGGAGGCAGCAGUGGGGGGAUAUUGCGCAAUGGGCGAAAGCCUGACGCAGCGACGCCGCGUGGGUGAUGAAGGCC